UUAGAUGCAUAGUUUUUUCCGCCACAACUUUACUCUGUCACUCUGUUAUUUCAAUUCAUUUUCAAUGUUUCUUCCAACAACACCCUAUUUUCCUCCGAUCAUCCAGCUCAUCAUUUACUCUCUACUUCAGCCCCAUCUUGUACAAUUCCACCACCAUCAAUUCAUCCUUAUCCUUUUUUACUCUCUUACCCUCCCCAUCAACUGUGCCAACACUCAUGUCAUUUGUACAACUGCUUCUUGCCCUAAUCUUUGGCACAUCCAAUUUUCUAGCACCCCAGUAUCGUCCUUUUCACUGUUCAACCUCUCGGGCGUAUUUGACCUGGAGUUGCAAACCUCCUAUUCGACUCGAAAUCCAACCUGAAUGGUUCUGUUCACUUCGAUCUUCAACUUCUAGGAGGUCAUUGGUCGGAAUUUAAUGAAGGCCUCCAUUAUAGGGAAUUUCUUUGAUCACCUGAUUAUUGUACAAGUUUUAACAUAUUGUGUGCAUUUGUAAAUAUUGUAUAUUUAUUUAUUUAGUGGAAAUUGGGUCAAAUAGCUUUUCUCA